AUGCCCGCCUGCUGCGCUGCGGCUGUGUCCCCGGCUUUCGGCUUUCCCAGGAUCCGCCGCAAGGCGCUGUUCCCUGGGCUCACCGGCCGACGCCAUCCCCUAGGCUCACCGGCCGACGCCGUGGAAGGCAGGUACGUGGGAGGACUCCACCCUCCUCAGGCUGCGCUGCCCUACGUCCCCCACCUCGAUGGAAGCUGCCCGCUUCCUCCAGCCGCUCGCCGAUGGGAUCUGUCGGCCGCCCGGCCCCGCGCCGCCACCGUCCAGGAAGGAGAUAUCGCCGUGCGGGCGCUUCUUGAGCUCGGGAGAGGCGCCGGAGAAGGAAGAGGCAAAACGGAGAUCAUCUACAUUAAUCUCCUGUCAAGUAUUGGAAAUUCCAAGUAUUUCAUGAGCAAAGCACCUAUGGAGAUGGAUGGUAAAAGUGAGUUCAAAAGGGAGAUCAUCCACACCACUUGCAGAUCAGCGUGA
rnacentral:rRNA from 1 species